UAGGGAAUCUUGCGCAAUGGGCGAAAGCCUGACGCAGCGACGCCGCGUGCGGGAAGAAGGCCUUCGGGUUGUAAACCGCUUUCAGGAGGGACGAAGCUACUCGGGUGAAUAGCCCAGAGGGUGACGGUACCUCCAGAAGAAGCCCCGGCUAACUACGUGCCAGCAGCCGCGGUAAUACGUAGGGGGCAAGCGUUGUCCGGAUUUAUUGGGCGUAAAGAGCGUGUAGGCGGCCAUGCAGGUCCGUUGUGAAAACUGGAGGCUCAACCUCCAGACGCCGGUGGAAACCGUGUGGCUAGAGUCCGGAAGAGGAGAGUGGAAUUCCUGGUGUAGCGGUGAAAUGCGCAGAUAUCAGGAAGAACACCCGUGGCGAAGGCGGCUCUCUGGGACGGUACUGACGCUGAGACGCGAAAGCGUGGGGAGCGAACAGGAUUAGAUACCCUGGUAGUCCACGCCGUAAACGAUGGGCGCUAGGUGUGGGCGGUGUCGACUCCGUCCGUGCCGAAGCUAACGCAUUAAGCGCCCCGCCU
rnacentral:rRNA from 1 species